CCCCUCUCAGGAACACACCUGGAGAGUUUCCAGUACUCUUCCAGUCUCAGCUAUGGGAGGGAGAGUUAAGCAGAUGUCUUCCCAUUCCAUUCCUAGCUGUGGCAGUGGCUAGUGAGUGGAAGGCACUCUGCUAUAAAU